rnacentral:rRNA from 1 species
UACGAAGGGGGCUAGCGUUGCUCGGAAUCACUGGGCGUAAAGCGCACGUAGGCGGCCUCUUAAGUCAGGGGUGAAAUCCUGGAGCUCAACUCCAGAACUGCCUUUGAUACUGAGAAGCUUGAGUCCGGGAGAGGUGAGUGGAACUGCGAGUGUAGAGGUGAAAUUCGUAGAUAUUCGCAAGAACACCAGUGGCGAAGGCGGCUCACUGGCCCGGUACUGACGCUGAGGUGCGAAAGCGUGGGGAGCAAACAGG